CCUACGGGAGGCAGCAGUGGGGAAUAUUGCGCAAUGGGCGAAAGCCUGACGCAGCGACGCCGCGUGAGGGAUGAAGGUCUUCGGAUCGUAAACCUCUGUCAGCAGGGAAGAACGGUCACUGUGCUAAUCAGCAGUGAAUUGACGGUACCUGCAAAGGAAGCACCGGCUAACUCCGUGCCAGCAGCCGCGGUAAUACGGAGGGUGCGAGCGUUAAUCGGAAUUACUGGGCGUAAAGCGCUCGUAGGCGGUAUGUCAAGUCAAGGGUGAAAUCCCCGCGCUCAACGUGGGAACUGCCUUUGAAACUGGUAAACUGGAGAGUGGGAGAGGAUAGUGGAAUUCCAGGUGUAGGAGUGAAAUGCGUAGAUAUCUGAAGGAACAUCAGUGGCGAAGGCGACUAUCUGGCACAUAACUGACGCUGAGGAGCGAAAGCGUGGGUAGCAAACAGGAUUAGAUACCCCUGUAGUC
rnacentral:rRNA from 1 species